rnacentral:rRNA from 1 species
CGAGGAUUCCCUUAGUAACGGCGAGUGAACAGGGAGAAGCCCAGCGUUGAAUUCUAUGAUCAUUCUAUGAUCAUUUGGAACCUGUAGCGUAUAGGUGUGGCCGCUUGAUGGUUCUUUGUAUACUCUAAGUCCCCUUGAGUGGGGCUACAGCCCAUUGAUGGUGCUAGGCCAGUAGGAGUAUCGGGGUUCUGUCAAAUUUCGGCUAUACUUUGGAGUCGAGUUGCCUGGGAUCGCAGCUCAAAGUGGGUGGUAAACUUCAUCUAAGGCUAAAUAUUACUACGAGACCGAUAGCCAACAAGUACCGUGAGGGAAAGUUGCAAAGAACUUUGAAGAGAGAGUUCAAGAGUACGUGAAACCGCUGGCAGGAAAUCGGAUAGAGUCGGCGAUAGUUCCAGUAGCACUCAACUGAUCAACAAUUUCAGUUACCAUAUGUGUGCUUUUAACUGCUCACUUGUUGUGCAGUAGCCUAUAGGGUUAUCCGGUUGACUGUAAAUUGUUCGAUUGGUGCACUUGUUGCUGGUAUGCGCUAAGACAUUCGCUAUGAUAUGUUUUAUACUGUAAGCGUAGAGGACUACAUCACUUGUUGGUGUAGAAACCAUUCGUCGGUUGAGGCAUAUUCAUAGUGAAUGCUAAAUUGGUGUAUAUAAUUGGAUCAUUUUACGGACAUCUGUGUAAUCUGCAAUUGGCUAGAUUGUAUAGGCUGCUUACAGUGGCGUGUCACUUUGUUAAGCAGUUUGCUGUAUAGUCUGCUGAUUGAUUAGAAACGAAAAUGA